rnacentral:lncRNA from 1 species
UCAUCCUCAUCUUCAUCUUCAUCAUCCUGGCCUUCAUCUUCAUCAUCUUCAUCAUCUUCAUCAUCCUCAUCUUCAUCUUCAUCAUCCUGGCCUUCAUCUUCAUCAUCUUCAUCAUCUUCGUCAUCGUCCUGAGCUUCAUCUUCAUCCUGAGCUUCGUUAUCCUCGUUAUCGUCAUCGUCAUCCUCACCAUCAUCAUCCUCAUCAACUACAGGAAGGAGAAAUUCCACUGCGGCUUCAGCCUCACCAUCGGCUGAGAGCUUCAUCUUCAUCAUCCUCAUCAUCCUCACCUUCAUCUUCAUCAUCCUCACCUUCAUCGUCUUCAUCUUCAUCAUCUUCGUCAUCGUCCUGAGCUUCAUCUUCAUCCUGAGCUUCGUUAUCCUCGUUAUCGUCAUCGUCAUCCUCACCAUCAUCAUCCUCAUCAACCACAGGAAGGAGAAGUUCCACUGCGGCUUCGGCCUCACCAUCGGCUGAGAGCUUCAUCAUCCUCAUCCUCAUCAUCAUCUUCAUCAUCAUCAUCAUCUUCAUCAUCUUCAUCCUGAGCUUCGUUAUCGUCGUCCUCACCAUCAUCAUCCUCAUCAACCACAGGAAGGAGAAGUUCCACUGCGGCUUCGGCCUCAC